GUAGGUACAACUCAGUGGUGGAGCAUGAGCUUAGCAAGCACAAGGUCCUGGGUUCAAUCCCCAUUACCUCUG
rnacentral:tRNA from 1 species